rnacentral:ncRNA from 2 species
GAUUGAUGUGGCGAUGGAGUCCGCCGGAACCGCCUUCUUGGCUGAUGGCUCCUAUCAAANN